rnacentral:rRNA from 1 species
AUUGAACGCUGGCGGCAGGCCUAACACAUGUAAGUCGACCGAGUGGCGGACGGGUGAGUAACGUCUGGGAAACUGCCUGAUGGAGGGGGAUAACUACUGGAAACGGUAGCUAAUACCGCAUACCAUCAGAUGUGCCCAGAUGGGGUUGGCUAGUUGGUGGGGGAACGGCUCAACAAGGCGACGAUCACUAGCUGGUCUGAGAGGCUGACCAGCCACACAGGAACGGAGACACGGUCCAGACUCCUACUGGGUGCAGCAGUGGGGAAUAUUGCACAAUGGGCGCAAGCCUGAUAGAGCCAUGCCGCGUGUAUGAAGAAGGCCUUCGGGUUGUAAAGUACUUUCAGCGGGGAGGCGUUACCCGCAGAAGAAGCACCGGCUAACUCCGUGCCAGCAGCCGCGGUAAUUC